AUGGGUAUUUUCAUCCUUUUGUCCUUCCCUCUCAGGGCUUGUGAGUGCAUGUUACAGAUGCCGGUGCCUGUGGGUGCAGGCAGGAGGGAGAACUGAGUGGAGAUUUCAACCACAACAAGGCACAUGACACAGGGCUGAAGCAGAGUUCAUAAAGCCACUGUGCUUGUCAAGCCCAAUCACAGCUCAAGAACAGGAGAAAAAAUUUCUCCUUAGGUGGUGUUCGGCUGACUGUGCCCCAGCCCUGUCUCUUACAAGCUGUGAGCUCCUGCCACCAUGCCCUGCACUGAUGGGGUGCCUGUGGCUACUUCAGGGCUGGAGCAGGGGGACAUGGCAGCAUGGCUGGGCUUGGUGGUAGCUGCUGCAUUGCUCUGUGUGCUAAAUUUGUAGCAUCUGAGUUUUCUCUUUGCAUGGCUGCUCAGACAGUUUCCUACAGCCCUGGGGGAUUAGGGGCUUUCAAGUAAUGAUGAAGCUACACCAGCUCCAUUAUAUUAAAAUAAGGUGUCCAGACCUUACCUUAUCCAACUUUAUUGAGAUGGAAUGCACAUAAAGGGAAUAAAUGCUGCUUUCAGAGGAGAUGUCCUGGUCCUGCCAGUGCUGGCUCUGUAUUUCAGUGCUUUGUGGACACACGUGCAGGAGCAUUGCAAAGCCAUCCCUGCCUUUCUUCCCUAUUUCCUGCACCCAGUCCCAAUCAAGCAGACUUGAAAUGUGUAUUUUUGAGGGUUUCAGAUGGUUCCUUUCCUUUUCCCUGUAUUUAUCAUCAUUUCUCUCUUUUUACACAUCUCCUUUCUCAUGCUUGGCCAUGUGCCCCAUGGCCUUUCCCCUUCUCCACAAAGGCUGGAGCAGUGUUUGUCCUGCACUGCUCCCCAACCUGCUGUCCCACUCUACAGGCUUGGGAGUCCAAGGCCCCAAGGCCUGUGACAGCACUGGACAGGCAGAGACCAUGCAGCUGGAGACAGCUGUUCAGAAGCAUCACAGCCGAGCAGACUUGGUUUCCUUGUCCAGAGUCAGAGGAUGAAUUACACAUCUUCCCUUCACCAGCUACCUAAUCAGCUGUUGGAGAGGAAAAUAAAAAUGGUGCCUGGCUUUA